rnacentral:miRNA from 3 species
UCUGACAAUGUUGCACUACU